GUAUUGUAUUGCGUUAAACGCGUCAUGCAUUCCAUAAGACUUUGUUACAGAGUGUGUGUAAAGAAUGUAGGACCACAACAGGAGGACAGAGUCCCCCACGCCAUAGAACUACAGAGGGUGCACAGGUGUGGGUGGAUGUGUAAACGGAGCGUGCACAUGCCCCCAUUUGAGGACCAGCAACAACUCGUGUUAACAAUUCGGUAAUGAUCCUUCCGCAGGUUCACCUACGGAAA
rnacentral:misc_RNA from 1 species